CUUGUACACACCGCCCGUCACACCAUGGGAAUUGGUUCUACCUUAAGUUCGUGGGCUAACCGCAAGGAGGCAGCCAACCACGGUAGGAUCAGUGACUGGGGUG
rnacentral:rRNA from 1 species